GGGCUCAUCUGUUCACCGGGGCAAAAGGGUGGAAGUGAGUAGGAGACAUGCAUCCCGUUAAGCAGGACAUCUGUUUCAGAGAAGAAAUGGGGCAAGUUUGGGAACGGUGCAAGAACACAAAGGCAAGGACAGACUCUUGAAGCAUCACUAAGGUGGAUUAAAUUUUCUUUCUAUCCGCCAAAAUAAAUGGACUGGGUUUUGCAGUGGAAGUGAUUGAACCAAAAAUACAGCUCAUGGCUUACAAUUGUGCUUUCUUCUCUGUUUUUCGGUUAGAAUGAUUGCUUACUGUACAUGGAUCCAAUUCCAGCAGUUACAGGUACCAAAAUGAAACAGGCCUUCUUUUUUCUUUUUUUUUUUUUUUUUUUUUUUUUUGGUCUCCUAGAGAGGGAGGUAGGGAGAAACACAGAAACACAGAGCUAGAGAAAUUGAAAGAGAAACAUUCUGGAAGGCAAAGAGUUGAAAGGUGAAUCUACUAAGAAAAGAAUAACAGAGUGCAAUUAGCAAUGAAACUGUAUCUCCGUCUGCCUCCUUAGCCUUUGGGAGGAAUUGGGCCAUGAGAAGAGCCUUCAUGAAUGGGAUUAGUUCGCUUAUAAGAAGAGACACCAAAGAAGUGAUCUUUCUCUGCCUUCUGCUACGUGAGGACAAGGUCAUCUGCAGUUUUUUGUUGUUGUUGAUGAUCUUCCUGUCAUAGACAGUGCUGUAACAAACAAACUAUCUACAGGUUUUCUACUUUUUUGAGCUAAAUCGUGAUGAAGCAGAUGAUAAUCUGAGGCUUGCCUGCUAUAUUGUGAAAAUCCUUCUGUGCUUGUAAUAAAGGCUUCAUCUCCACAAGACCUAAA
rnacentral:antisense_RNA from 1 species